CAGCCUUUGGUAAGGAGCAGCAGCAGCUCGAGUGUGGUGCGAGCCCUUCAAAUUAGAAAAGUGAUGAUGAUCUUGUCAAUGCUGAGAUUUUCAUGCAUCAACAGCCAUUACAUCUGUCUGGAUCAGGAUUGAACAAGAAACAGACAGCAAGGGUUGUCAGGUCAGAAACAGUACAACACACAAACACAAGAAACUUCACAGGCAGAUCAACAUGCAAUUUGAAGACGUGUGAUAAAAUACAGAGAGGUGAAGUCGUGUGUCUUUCCAGAUGCCCAAAUCAUCCCCGUUAAAAGAUGAGCCUGAAGAGGAGAUUUGGGAAGAUGCUGUUUCAUAAGUCGCUUUGCCAGAUCACCUGUGGUAAGUUUGUAAAACGUAUAUUAAAAAUAGGAUUAGAACAUCUCCUAAUCAAAAGUUUUUGAUCAGGUCGGGAUGUCUGCUAACAAGAUGCCUUGCUGGUCUGGGCGAGUUUAAAGUCUUACACAGACAGUCCAGAGGUUCUGAAGUCCAUCUUCGAUUUCAUUGAUGCUGUCAUCGUAUUAAGUACAGCAUGAGCCAGAAUGGAUGGGUGGUGGUGGCCAUAAGAAGACUGUCAACUAAAUCAACAAAAUUCAUAUUUGCAGUUUUUCUUGAAUAAAGUUUUUCUAUUCAGAUGAAUAAAAUGACUUUUAAACAUGA